CAUCUACUCCCUCCAUCUCAAAAUUCUUGUCUUAAAUUUGCUAGAUACGGAUGUAUCUAAUACUAAAACGUGACUUGAUACAUCCAUAUCUAGACAAAUUCAAGAGGAGAAUUUUGGGACGGAGGGAGUAUUAA
rfam:Triticum aestivum genome assembly, contig: Triticum_aestivum_CS42_TGACv1_scaffold_221768_3B